rnacentral:rRNA from 1 species
UGACCUACGGGGGGCAGCAGUGGGGAAUAUUGCACAAUGGGGGAAACCCUGAUGCAGCAACGCCGCGUGGGUGAAGAAGUAUUUCGGUAUGUAAAGCCCUAUCAGCAGGGAAGAGAAUGACGGUACCUGACUAAGAAGCCCCGGCUAACUACGUGCCAGCAGCCGCGGUAAUACGUAUGGUGCAAACGUUAUCCGGAUUUACUGGGUGUGAAGGGAGCGUAGGCGGCGCGUUAAGUCUGAUGUGAAAACCCGAGGCUCAACCACGGGAGUGCAUUGGAAACUGGCGGGCUGGAGUGCCGGAGAGG